rnacentral:rRNA from 1 species
UACGUAGGGUCCAAGCGUUAAUCGGAAUUACUGGGCGUAAAGCGUGCGCAGGCGGUUCUGAAAGUCAGCUGUGAAAGCCCCGGGCUUAACCUGGGAAUUGCGGUUGAAACUACAGGGCUAGAAUCUGGCAGAGGGGGGUGGAAUUCCACGUGUAGCAGUGAAAUGCGUAGAGAUGUGGAGGAACACCGAUGGCGAAGGCAGCCCCCUGGGCUGACACUGACGCUCAGGCACGAAAGCGUGGGGAGCAAACAGG